rnacentral:rRNA from 1 species
UACGAAGGGGGCUAGCGUUGCUCGGAAUCACUGGGCGUAAAGGGCGCGUAGGCGGACUUUUUAAGUCAGGGGUGAAAUCCUAAGGCUCAACCUCAGAACUGCCUUUGAUACUGAGGUCUCGAGACCGGUAGAGGUAAGUGGAAACUGCGAGUGUAGAGGUGAAAUUCGUAGAUAUUCGCAAGAACACCAGUGGCGAAGGCGGCU